rnacentral:rRNA from 1 species
GACGUAGGGCGCGAGCGUUGUCCGGAUUUAUUGGGCGUAAAGAGCUCGUAGGCGGCUUGUCGCGUCGUCCGUGAAAACCUGCGGCUCAACUGCAGGCUGGCGGUCGAUACGGGCAGGCUGGAGUUCGGUAGGGGAGACUGGGAUUCCUGGUGUAGCGGUGAAAUGCGCAGAUAUCGGGAGGAAUACCGAUGGCGAAGGCAGGUCUCUGGGCUAUAACUGACGCUCAUGCACGAAAGCGUGGGGAGCAAACAGG